CCGCCUUCCUUUCGGCCAUUUUCCUGCAGCACACAUUGAGUGAAUUGGCUGAAGCUGCAGCAGCUGGACAGCUUCUUUGACUUCCUGGGCCAGUUGGCUGAUAAAUGAAAGAUGUUCAUCGUGAGACAAGCUUGUCAGCAGCCCACUGAACAUGUGGUGCUUAUCUGGGCCCUGGCUUCAAUGUCCUUGAAAGAUGUUAGGUGAUGCUGUGUAAAGUGGCUUUGACCCAUGUCCCCCUCUCUUUCCUUCAGAUGUCUUUACCUGGAAGCUUGAGGGUGUUUGCAGAUGGGAUGCAUCAUCCCUCUGAAGCGCAGACAUUUGUGACCUUGAGGUCUUGGCUCAUAAGUGCUCUCUUGAAUGCAGUGUUCACGGAUGGCUUCAGGAACAUGAGAACUUGAUGGUCUACAGUGGAUUUCAGGUGGGCCUGGCAGUUUGUAUUAAACAGCUGAGACUGGAGGAGUUGGAUGCCCUUUGGACCAAAGAUUUUCUUGAUCAGGACCGUAAGCUGAUGCAUGAAUGUACUGGAGCUGCCCUGCAUGAGAUCCUGUUUUGUUGUGGAGCUGGUUGAUUUUUGGUGCUGGAGUCCAUGGACCUGUGAAGUUAUGCCUCUAACUGCAUUGUCUUGUUUGCUGUGAGAUUCAGACCUUGUAACUGCAUUAUUCAAUAAACCUGCAGGGUGAA